rfam:Rattus norvegicus chromosome 1, whole genome shotgun sequence.
GGGGAUUUAGCUCAGUGGUAGAGCGCUUGCCUCGCAAGUGCAAAGACCUGGGUUCGGUCCCCAGCUCCG